UUGCUAUGAUGAUAAAUAUUUUUGUUGAAUCAUAUGAAAAAUUCUAUGAGCUUUUUAACCCUGAGCAUU